GGUGGCUUAGGUAGUAGAGUACCUGCCUUGAAUGCACAAGGCCCUGGGUUCAAUCCCCAGCACCA
rnacentral:tRNA from 1 species